AUACGUAGGGGGCGAGCGUUGUCCGGAAUGAUUGGGCGUAAAGGGCGCGUAGGCGGCCCUGUAAGUCUGGAGUGAAAGUCCUGUUUUUAAGGUGGGAAUUGCUUUGGAUACUGCCGCGCUUGAGUGCAGGAGAGGUUAUCGGAAUUCCCGGUGUAGCGGUGAAAUGCGUAGAGAUCGGGAGGAACACCAGUGGCGAAGGCGGGUAACUGGACUGCAACUGACGCUGAGGCGCGAAAGUGUGGGGAGCAAACAGGAUUAGAUACCCUGGUAGUCCACACUGUAAACGAUGAAUGCUAGGUGUAAGAGGUAUCGACCCCUUUUGUGCCGGAGUCAACACAAUAAGCAUUCCGCCUGGGGAGUCCGGCCGCAAGGCUUAAACUCAAAGGAAUUGACGGGG
rnacentral:rRNA from 1 species